AGAUAGUUAUAUUAUCUAUAUUAGUAACGAUCAAACAUUGUAUACAACUGAACCAAGUAUAUUUACAGUUUAUUCACCAAAAUGUCACAAGUGUGACCGAUCUGGUUAUUGUAUUCUUGAGGAUAAUACCUGUUUUAUAAACAAUGUCUGCUAUGAUUUUGGUGUUAGAAAACACGAUAAUAACAGUUUGGUUUGUGACCCACAACAAAAUUACCGUGACUGGAGCACGAUACAAGACUUCCCAUAUCUACAGACAACACCUAAUAUAAGUAUAGUAUCUAGUGAUGAUGAGUUUAAGUUUAUCUGUGAAUUCCAACUACCCAACUUAUCUGAUGUCAAAUAUUACAUAGAAUGGUUUCAUGACAAUGUUAUUAAAACAAUUGAUCUAGUUGGUAAUGAAACACAAGUGGAAUUAGACAUUGGAGAUGUUCAGAACAUCACAUAUGGAUCAAAGAUUGAGUGUGGACUAAAAGCAUGUUAUGUCAGUAACUGUAAUGCUUCCAUGAGUCAACCAAAGAAAAGUAAAC